GGGAUAACAGUCCGAAAGGACUGCUAAUACCGCAUGUGGUUAUUGGCUCUAGAAACCGGUAACUAAAGGAGAAAUUCGCUUUGGGAGGGACCUGCGUCCCAUCAGCUAGUUGGUGAGGUAAUGGCUCACCAAGGCGACGACGGGUAGGGGACCUGAGAGGGUGGCCCCCCACAAUGGAACUGAAACACGGUCCAUACACCUACGGGUGGCAGCAGUAGGGAAUAUUGCUCAAUGGGCGAAAGCCUGAAGCAGCAACGCCGCGUGCGUGAUGAAGGUCUUCGGAUCGUAAAGCGCUUUUCUGGGAGAUGAGAAAGGACAGUAUCCCAGGAAUAAGUCUCGGCUAACUACGUGCCAGCAGCCGCGGUAAAACGUAGGAGGCAAGCGUUAUCCGGAUUCACUGGGCGUAAAGCGCGUGCAGGUGGCGUGGUAAGUUGGAUGUGAAAUCUCCCGGCUCAACUGGGAGAGGUCAUUCAAUACUACCGUGCUUGAGAGCAGAAGAGGAAGAUGGAAUUCCCGGUGUAGUGGUGAAAUGCGUAGAUAUCGGGAGGAACACCAGUGGCGAAGGCGAUCUUCUGGUCUGUUUCUGACACUCAGACGCG
rnacentral:rRNA from 1 species